GACCAUGUGGCCUAAUGGAUAAGGCGUCAGACCUCGAAUCAGAGGAUUCAGAGUCCGAGUCCCUUCAUGGUUA
rnacentral:tRNA from 1 species